GCUAAACGCGAAGAACCUUACCAGGCCUUGACAUGCAGAGAACUUUCCAGAGAUGGAUUGGUGCCUUCGGGAACUCUGACACAGGUGCUGCAUGGCUGUCGUCAGCUCGUGUCGUGAGAUGUUGGGUUAAGUCCCGCAACGAGCGCAACCCUUAUUGACAGUUGCCAAUAUUAAGUUAGGAACUCUGUCAAGACUGCCGUUGAUAAAACGGAGGAAGGUGGGGACGAUGUCAAGUCAUCAUGGCCUUUAUGUUCAGGGCUACACACGUGCUACAAUGGAUGGUACAAAACGUCGCAAUCCUGCAAGGGGGAGCUAAUCGCAAAAACCAUUCUCAGUUCGGAUCGGAGUCUGCAACUCGACUCCGUGAAGUUGGAAUCGCUAGUAAUCGCAAAUCAGCAUGUUGCGGUGAAUACGUUCCCGGGUCUUGUACACACCG
rnacentral:rRNA from 1 species